GUGAAUCAUCGAAUCUUUGAACGCAUAUUGCACCCGACAGGCUCGCUUGUCGGGUCUGCCUGUCUGAGUAUCAGUACGGACCCAAUCAACAAUGAAAGGUUAUUAAUUUAGCUGGACAAUGUUGUGUUGGUGCUCACUAGAGGUCUCUUUAGACCUUUGGUGGAUUUGAGUGUUCAGUCAUCAUUUUUUGGUUGAUCACUUGAAAUGUAUUGGUGUCGUCUAGCUGACAGUCGCCGCGUAAGCAUUGUUAAUCAUCUUUAUUGAUGUUCCUUGCUAUUACAUGGACCAACGACAAUAAGC
rnacentral:misc_RNA from 1 species